UACGGGGGGGGCAAGCGUUGUUCGGAAUUACUGGGCGUAAAGGGCUCGUAGGCGGCCAACUAAGUCGGAUGUGAAAUCCCCAGGCUUAACCUGGGAACUGCAUCCGAUACUGGAUGGCUUGAAUCCGGGAGAGGGAUGCAGAAUUCCAGGUGUAGCGGUGAAAUGCGUAGAUAUCUGGAGGAAUACCGGUGGCGAAGGCGGCUCACUGGUCCGGUACUGACGCUGAGGUGCGAAAGCGUGGGGAGCAAACAGG
rnacentral:rRNA from 1 species